UAGCUUGCUGGGCGGAUUAGUGGCGAACGGGUGAGUAAUACGUGAGUAACCUGCCCUUGACUCUGGGAUAAGCCUGGGAAACUGGGUCUAAUACUGGAUACUACCUCUUACCGCAUGGUGGGUGGUGGAAAGGGUUUUACUGGUUUUGGAUGGGCUCACGGCCUAUCAGCUUGUUGGUGGGGUAAUGGCUCACCAAGGCGACGACGGGUAGCCGGCCUGAGAGGGUGACCGGCCACACUGGGACUGAGACACGGCCCAGACUCCUACGGGAGGCAGCAGUGGGGAAUAUUGCACAAUGGGCGGAAGCCUGAUGCAGCGACGCCGCGUGAGGGAUGACGGCCUUCGGGUUGUAAACCUCUUUCAGUAGGGAAGAAGCGAGAGUGACGGUACCUGCAGAAGAAGCGCCGGCUAACUACGUGCCAGCAGCCGCGGUAAUACGUAGGGCGCAAGCGUUGUCCGGAAUUAUUGGGCGUAAAGAGCUCGUAGGCGGUUUGUCGCGUCUGCUGUGAAAGCCCGGGGCUCAACCCCGGGUCUGCAGUGGGUACGGGCAGACUAGAGUGCAGUAGGGGAGACUGGAAUUCCUGGUGUAGCGGUGAAAUGCGCAGAUAUCAGGAGGAACACCGAUGGCGAAGGCAGGUCUCUGGGCUGUUACUGACGCUGAGGAGCGAAAGCAUGGGGAGCGAACAGGAUUAGAUACCCUGGUAGUCCAUGCCGUAAACGUUGGGCACUAGGUGUGGGGGACAUUCCACGUUUUCCGCGCCGUAGCUAACGCAUUAAGUGCCCCGCCUGGGGAGUACGGCCGCAAGGCUAAAACUCAAAGGAAUUGACGGGGGCCCGCACAAGCGGCGGAGCAUGCGGAUUAAUUCGAUGCAACGCGAAGAACCUUACCAAGGCUUGACAUUCACCGGACCGCCCCAGAGAUGGGGUUUCCCUUCGGGGCUGGUGGACAGGUGGUGCAUGGUUGUCGUCAGCUCGUGUCGUGAGAUGUUGGGUUAAGUCCCGCAACGAGCGCAACCCUCGUUCUAUGUUGCCAGCACGUGAUGGUGGGGACUCAUAGGAGACUGCCGGGGUCAACUCGGAGGAAGGUGGGGAUGACGUCAAAUCAUCAUGCCCCUUAUGUCUUGGGCUUCACGCAUGCUACAAUGGCCGGUACAAAGGGUUGCGAUACUGUGAGGUGGAGCUAAUCCCAAAAAGCCGGUCUCAGUUCGGAUUGAGGUCUGCAACUCGACCUCAUGAAGUCGGAGUCGCUAGUAAUCGCAGAUCAGCAACGCUGCGGUGAAUACGUUCCCGGGCCUUGUACACACCGCCCGUCAAGUCACGAAAGUUGGUAACACCCGAAGCCGGUGGCCUAACCCCUUGUGGGAGGGAGCCGUCGAA
rnacentral:rRNA from 1 species